rnacentral:rRNA from 1 species
AUGGCAAGGAGGCAAUGCUACUCGGGGUCGAGAUGCAGGGCACACCAGAGGUUGGAGGCGGCACGGAGGAAGGAGAAGGACGGCCGCUGGGCUUGGGGAGUUGUCGAACUUGCUGGAUCUGGCGGGGUCCUAGUGGGGCUUGAGGUGACGGAGCUCCGGCGGGGUCGAGCGUGGCCGAAGGAGGAUCGACAGGGCAGCCAAGGAAGCAGGGCCAAUGCUCCCACGACAUGGCAGCGAGGAGGUAGAGGGGUGUCGGCGUUGAGGAGGUCGGGCGACGGGAGGACCUCCGGUGGCGGUGGAGCUAGGGCUCACCGGAGCAGGGGGUCGCGGGCGCCAUGGCAAGGUCGAGGCGGCGGAGGAAAAAUGGAAAUGAACAUGUGGGUGAAGUUUGAAUCGAACUCAUUUGAAUUUAAUUCAAAUGAGUGUGAGAAGGAAGUGGGUAUUCGGUAG